rfam:Pteropus alecto contig89872, whole genome shotgun sequence.
GAUGCUGGACCUGCUGGCACCACAGACACAGCUGCUGUGCUGCACCUAUGAUAUUAGGGCAAAGAAGUAGCUAUUUCUACACUCAGUGCCCAGAACAGUGGGCACUAAGAAUGGUCUGUAGCCUAACACUC